UCUCCGUUGGUGAACCAGCGGAGGGAUCAUUACAGAGUUGCAAAACUCCCUAAACCAUCGUGAACGUUACCCAAACCGUUGCUUCGGCGGGCGGCGCCCUCGCGCGCCCCUGGGCCCCACCGCGGGCGCCCGCCGGAGGUACCCAAACUCUUGAUACUUUAUGGCCACUCUGAGUCUUCUAAGCGAACUGUUAAAACUUUCAACAACGGAUCUCUUGGCUCCA
rnacentral:misc_RNA from 1 species